rnacentral:lncRNA from 1 species
CUCCCUGUUGCCUGGCUCCAGUCUCUCCUGCUGUGUUUCAAGCCCCUUCUCUUCUUGCCCUGUCCUCUGGAGGGAGCAGACUGCCCAGUGCUCAGGCCACAGGUGUCCUUGUUUUUCCUGAAGUGCUCUGACGACCCUUCGACAUUCACAGCAGACAACGCCAGCAGGAAUACUGGAUGAUGGCGUUUGACGGUAUUUGCGGGCUGCCAUUCCCCUGCAUAUCUGUACUGAAUGCUGGAAGCCAAGCUUGCACAUUCUAGGCAGCCAUUUGGAAGAUUCUUCUCUGCGCAUGACCAGCUGAAAAGGAAAAACCCCGAAACAUUGGCACUGUGAUUUCUCCAUGUGAACAGUUUAGUUCGCCGAGGUGGACAUGCCUCAUUCAUGCUUAUGGAGUGACCGACCAGCCUUUAGUGACACCCCCUGAAAUGUGAGUCAUCCAUGGGUCACUAGUCAUUGGAGAAGAGCCCCUUAUACAAAACUUGGAGCUCAGACCACAAACAACAACAACAAUCCAAAAAAUAAAAAAAUGAAAAAUUAGGAGCAGAGACUAAAUGGAAAGAUGGAAAUAUUAAAAUAAAAAUAUUAUUUUAAAAAUUAAUAUGUAUUAAAAUUUU